GAUGAACGCUGGCGGCGUGCCUAAUACAUGCAAGUCGAGCGAACAGACGAGGAGCUUGCUCCUUCGACGUUAGCGGCGGACGGGUGAGUAACACGUAGGUAACCUACCUAUAAGACUGGGAUAACUUCGGGAAACCGGAGCUAAUACCGGAUAAUAUUUCGAACCGCAUGGUUCGAUAGUGAAAGAUGGCUUUGCUAUCACUUAUAGAUGGACCUGCGCCGUAUUAGCUAGUUGGUAAGGUAACGGCUUACCAAGGCAACGAUACGUAGCCGACCUGAGAGGGUGAUCGGCCACACUGGAACUGAGACACGGUCAAGACUCCUACGGGAGGCAGCAGUAGGGAAUCUUCCGCAAUGGGCGAAAGCCUGACGGAGCAACGCAGCGUGAGUGAUGAAGGUCUUCGGAUCGUAAAACUCUGUUAUUAGGGAAGAACAAACGUGUAAGUAACUGUGCACGUCUUGACGGUACCUAAUCAGAAAGCCACGGCUAACUACGUG
rnacentral:rRNA from 1 species